GCUCAUCUGAGGAGGGUGGAAGAUAGAGAGAGAGAGACAACGAGAGAAGGAGUGAGCGAGAAGGAGAGCAAGAGAGAGAAGUUAGGAUUUCUUUGAAUCUGACAGAGAAAGCUAUAAUUUGAUUGCUAAUUAGAAUUGGCAUGCUAAAUACCUUCAACUGCUUUAAGAAGUUGAAACACGACCAUUGCAGUAACCCCAUGUCUUCCAAAAGUGCUGAAGCAAACUUUUGAAGGCACAGAGAACCGAAAAGCCAUGUAGCCUAGCUGGGGCUAAGACAUUCAAUGUGCUAACUUUAAACAAAGAGAAUCUCCGUUCCUCCAGUUUCCAUAGGUACACAUGGCGCCUCUCUUCACUCAAAAUAAACGUGCGAUUUUGCCAUUGAGGGGCAAAGCUUUGCUGAGUUGAGCUGUUUUGCCCGAGGAGGAGGGAAGGAGAAUGCGGUGGGGAGACUGGGUGACAGGCUCCUGUUAUCAUGGAGACUCCAGGUUUGCUAAGUGAGCAGUAACGGCACAGCUGGGGGCUAGCGUGACAUGCUACACGGAACCCUGGAUGUUUGCUGCUUUGGUAGGAUCUUGAGCUAACACCCUGGUGCAACCAUCACUCUGACAGUUGAAGCCCAAAAUAUCACUAAAUAUUACUAGAUAAGACACAUAUUGUAUCAUGAAUCUGGAAGAAAAUGAAUGUCCUCUUAAAUAAAGGUGAGAUUUAAAAUACAAAAUAUUAUAGCGAAAAUCAAUCUGAAAACCGAUCCGCGUUUACCUAUACAAUGGAGAAAUGCUUCAAUCCAAGAUGAUACACAGGCAAUAUUGCAAGCCACAUUCCUACUGUAUCCAUCUGUACUGCAGCAGUUGUCAGAGUCCCCACAGACUCCACCAGACAGGCAGCGAAAGCAAACCAACCGUAAUUCAUUAGGUGCUGUUGUGUGCAGGCUCAUUACAUCCGGACAUUGUGGGGAGCAUAAUAAUAAUGAAAGAAAUCGGGGGCAAUAUCAAUACAGCGCUAAUUAAAGAAAGAAAAACUAGGAGACUAAGAAAUAUAUAAACAAACAAAUCACAUACAAAUGGAUCUUAGCCGUCUGAGGAUAUUAAAGUAAAUCAUUUAAUAAUAACAGAAAUAUAGUUCGUCUGUAGCGCGGUGGUGGAUGGUGGUGGGGAAGUUUAGUGGAACGGGAUGCCGCGAGACACGUAUUAAGUAAUUACGAUGCCGGGGUUGAACAAUGAGCGAGUGUGGGCCUGUGGCAUGGCGAUAACCAGCGUGAGCGCGAGAGGCGCUGCCGGCCCUCCCGUGGAAGCACCACAGCAUAUUUUAGCACGGCGAUCGAGCCCAGGCCAGGGAAUGUAAUUAUACUGUACGUGCGCUAGGAGGGAGAGGAAAGCAGAAGCGAGGGGGUGGGUGGGAGACAUUAGGAAGUAAGGAAAGGGAAAUUAGGGUGUUUCCAGGGAGGGAAGGGAAAUUAGGGUGUUUCCACCCGUCUUCAAUAAUGUCUUUCUUAGAAGACUUAAGAUAAAAGGAAGGUGUUUGUGCGUGGUUGGGGUUGAUGUAUACACAAAUGUCUUUUUUUCCUUCUCUGUGGGAUUUGUUUUCUAAACGAUGCCUGUGUUUCCAGUGUUUCAUCUGUUUGUUCUCCCAAAACACCUGCUGCCUCUCCUCUUAGUGUUACGUUUCAUCGCGCUCGCUGACAUUUGUGCUCCUGAAUGUUCCCGGGAGACAUUUCCCAAUAGACACUUAUCCUUCUGCCCCGCCUUCUCCAUCCGACAAGAGGGACCGCCGCUUCUAACGUGAGCGUUAAGCGCGGCCUUUGAAGUUCGGGAUGUGAGAGAGGGAGGCAGACAAUAAAGCACGUUAGCGUGGGAGCUGACGACUUGACUGGCGAGCCCUGAGAAACUCAGUAGGAGCACUCUAGCAGGGCGUGCUAGCAUCACAUCCCAUCCCGUCACUACUCACGAGGACCUCAGACUCUGGCAUCAACAUGGUCCACUGCUAAAACUCCCCUGACAAGAAGGAGACGUCUGCCAGGGAAAAUAAUUGAUAUUUAAGGAUAAGUCUGAGGAUGGAGCUUUAGAUAGAAUUCCCUUCCAGGGAGACCGGAUUGGACCUAAUUGACAUCGGUGUGUGUGUCCAGUCGUGUGUAUUUAAAACAGCAAGGUGGUUACAGUACAUGUUGGUACUCAGCUCAGCUCCAGCCUCUGUCCUUCAUGACUUAAUUAGUACUGGUGUUUGGUCAAUACUGUACUGCUCAAUAGUUUGAAUUAAUAAUGAAACAUAAAGAUGCUAUUUGUUCCAUAGUCAUCCAUUUAUAGAGGUACAUGUGUAUAUUGAGUUUGGUAUAGAGUCAUUCUAAAUUAUUCAGGCUAUCCAUUCCAGAACAUUUCCAAAGUUGGGCCUGAUGCUCACCAAACAAUGUGAGCUGAACUUAUUUCAUGUGUAGAGAUGUGUGCUAGCUAGACGAAUAAUCAAAUGUAUUAAUAAAGCCUUUUUUUUCU